GAAUACACAGAGACUUCUAGGCUACUUAAAGCCAUGGAUGUCUGGUGCCAGUGUGGUAGCUGUACCACAGGGAGGGGAGUGUCAUGGAGGAUGUAGCCAGCAAUUGGAAACAGCCUAAUGCCCAUCACCUGAGCAGUGGAUAAUGAAACUGUGGUGCAUCUAUACAAUGGAAUAUUACUGAGCUAUUACAAGGCAUGAAACUAUGUAAUCUGCAUGAAGAUGGUUGGGCACAUGAAAAGUAUGUUAAAAAUGGAAACAUCUUUCCCUUCAUUUGGAAGAGUAAAAGCUCGUACUUGGCUGGAAAAUGACAUCUAAUGGAGGAGGAUGAUAAUUGGUGCUGAGUAGAAAGCUCCAAGGUCAGGCAUGACUCCUCCCUGCUCUGUGACACUGCGUCCUUGGCGUAGGACAGGAGGUGUUCAACAUCUCUUCAUAAAGGUCAGCUUUC